rnacentral:RNase_P_RNA from 1 species
CUGUCGCUGCCCUGUUUUACAGGGGAGAGGAAAGUCCGGGCAACACAGAGCACCAUACUUCCUAACGGGAAGGAACUCGAAGAGAGUUACAGACAGUGCCGCAGAAAAUAUACCGCCACGCUCAGGCGGGGUAAGGGUGAAAACGCGAGGUAAGAGCUCACGCCACCGGCAGUGAUGACCGGCGGAGGUAAACCUUAUGGGUUGAAAAACCAAAUAAACCGUGGCUUGAGGGUUGCUCGCCCGACACGGAGGGUAGGUUGAUUGAGCCUGUUGGUGACGACAGGCCUAGAUAAAUGACAGAUUAGUACAGAACCCGGCUUAUUGGCUGUUU